GGAAACUUGGAAACUACCGUUGAAUCGAGAAAUGGAUAUCCGGGAUUUGUCCAUGUCACCGUGAGUUAAAAUUUAACUCCCAGUAAAAUUUUAACUCAUGAGUGAAUUUGCGAGUUAAAUUUUAACUCAUGGUGACGUAGACGAAUCUCGGACGUCCAUUUCUCGAUCCAACGGUAGUUUUCAAGUUUCC
rnacentral:pre_miRNA from 1 species